UACGGAGGGAGCUAGCGUUGUUCGGAAUUACUGGGCGUAAAGCGCGCGUAGGCGGCUUUGUAAGUUAGAGGUGAAAGCCCGGAGCUCAACUCCGGAACUGCCUUUAAAACUGCAUCGCUUGAAUCCAGGAGAGGUGAGUGGAAUUCCGAGUGUAGAGGUGAAAUUCGUAGAUAUUCGGAAGAACACCAGUGGCGAAGGCG
rnacentral:rRNA from 1 species